rnacentral:rRNA from 1 species
GACGAACGCUGGCGGCGUGCCUAAUACAUGCAAGUCGAACGCACAGUUUAUACCGUAGCUUGCUACACCAUAGACUGUGAGUUACGAACGGGUGAGUAACGCGUAGGUAACCUGCCUGGUAGCGGGGGAUAACUAUUGGAAACGAUAGCUAAUACCGCAUAAUAUUAAUUAUUGCAUGAUAAUUAAUUGAAAGGUGCAAUUGCACCACUACCAGAUGGACCUGCGUUGUAUUAGCUAGUAGGUGAGGUAACGGCUCACCUAGGCGACGAUACAUAGCCGACCUGAGAGGGUGAUCGGCCACAUUGGGACUGAGACACGGCCCAGACUCCUACGGGAGGCAGCAGUAGGGAAUCUUCGGCAAUGGACGAAAGUCUGACCGAGCAACGCCGCGUGAGUGAAGAAGGUUGUCGGAUCGUAAAGCUCGGUUGUAAGAGAAGAACGGGUGUGAGAGUGGAAAGUUCACACUGUGACGGUAUCUUACCAGAAAGGGACGGCUAACUACGUG